AUGGGGGCAACCCUGACCGAGCAACGCCGCGUGAGUGAAGAAGGUUUUCGGAUCGUAAAGCUCUGUUGUAAGUCAAGAACGAGUGUGAGAGUGGAAAGUUCACACUGUGACGGUAGCUUACCAGAAAGGGACGGCUAACUACGUGCCAGCAGCCGCGGUAAUACGUAGGUCCCGAGCGUUGUCCGGAUUUAUUGGGCGUAAAGCGAGCGCAGGCGGUUUGAUAAGUCUGAAGUUAAAGGCUGUGGCUCAACCAUAGUUCGCUUUGGAAACUGUCAAACUUGAGUGCAGAAGGGGAGAGUGGAAUUCCAUGUGUAGCGGUGAAAUGCGUAGAUAUAUGGAGGAACACCGGUGGCGAAAGCGGCUCUCUGGUCUGUAACUGACGCUGAGGCUCGAAAGCGUGGGGAGCGAACAGGAUUAGAUACCCUGGUAGUCCACGCCGUAAACGAUGAGUGCUAGGUGUUGGAUCCUUUCCGGGAUUCAGUGCCGCAGCUAACGCAUUAAGCACUCCGCCUGGGGAGUACGACCGCAAGGUUGAAACUCAAAGGAAUUGACGGGGGCCCGCACAAGCGGUUGAGCAUGUGGUUUAAUUCGAAGCAACGCGAAGAACCUUACCAGGUCU
rnacentral:rRNA from 1 species